AGAGCUUGCUCUGUGGAUCAGUGGCGAACGGGUGAGUAACACGUGAGCAACCUGCCCCUGACUCUGGGAUAAGCGCUGGAAACGGCGUCUAAUACUGGAUAUGAGCUGCGAUCGCAUGGUCAGCAGUUGGAAAGAUUUUUCGGUCUGGGAUGGGCUCACGGCCUAUCAGCUUGUUGGUGAGGUAAUGGCUCACCAAGGCGUCGACGGGUAGCCGGCCUGAGAGGGUGACCGGCCACACUGGGACUGAGACACGGCCCAGACUCCUACGGGAGGCAGCAGUGGGGAAUAUUGCACAAUGGGCGAAAGCCUGAUGCAGCAACGCCGCGUGAGGGAUGACGGCCUUCGGGUUGUAAACCUCUUUUAGCAGGGAAGAAGCGAAAGUGACGGUACCUGCAGAAAAAGCGCCGGCUAACUACGUGCCAGCAGCCGCGGUAAUACGUAGGGCGCAAGCGUUAUCCGGAAUUAUUGGGCGUAAAGAGCUCGUAGGCGGUUUGUCGCGUCUGCUGUGAAAUCCCGAGGCUCAACCUCGGGUCUGCAGUGGGUACGGGCAGACUAGAGUGCGGUAGGGGAGAUUGGAAUUCCUGGUGUAGCGGUGGAAUGCGCAGAUAUCAGGAGGAACACCGAUGGCGAAGGCAGAUCUCUGGGCCGUUACUGACGCUGAGGAGCGAAAGGGUGGGGAGCAAACAGGCUUAGAUACCCUGGUAGUCCACCCCGUAAACGUUGGGAACUAGUUGUGGGGUCCAUUCCACGGAUUCCGUGACGCAGCUAACGCAUUAAGUUCCCCGCCUGGGGAGUACGGCCGCAAGGCUAAAACUCAAAGGAAUUGACGGGGACCCGCACAAGCGGCGGAGCAUGCGGAUUAAUUCGAUGCAACGCGAAGAACCUUACCAAGGCUUGACAUAUACGAGAACGGGCCAGAAAUGGUCAACUCUUUGGACACUCGUAAACAGGUGGUGCAUG
rnacentral:rRNA from 1 species